rnacentral:rRNA from 1 species
AUUGAACGCUGGCGGCAUGCCUUACACAUGCAAGUCGAACGGCAGCACGGGGGCAACCCUGGUGGCGAGUGGCGAACGGGUGAGUAAUAUAUCGGAACAUGCCCUGAAGUGGGGGAUAACGUAGCGAAAGUUACGCUAAUUCCGCAUAUUCUGUGAGCAGGAAAGCAGGGGAUCGCAAGACCUUGCGCUUUAGGAGUGGCCGAUAUCGGAUUAGCUAGUUGAUGAGGUAAAAGCUCACCAAGGCGACGAUCCGUAGCGGGUCGGAGAGGAUGACCCGCGACACUGGGACUGAGACACGGCCCAGACUCCUACGGGAGGCAGCAGUGGGGAAUUUUGGACAAUGGGCGCAAGCCUGAUCCAGCCAUGCCGCGUGAGUGAAGAAGGCCUUCGGGUUGUAAAGCUCUUUCGGCGGGGAAGAAAUUGCUUCGGCUAAUAUCCGGAGUAGAUGACGGUACCCGCAUAAGAAGCACCGGCUAACUACGUGCCAGCCGCCGCAGUAAAAC